GACUGAACUCUCUCUCUGUUCUUGGGUAUAGUAGCAGCCUCUCUCGCUCUGUUCUGCUGUGUCUGGGUAGUAGUUACAGCUCUCUCUCUGUUUCUGUUCUGGGUAGUAGUUACAGCUCUCUCUCUCUCUCUCAUGUCUGGGUAGUAGUUACAGCUCUCUCUCUCCUCUCUCCUGUUUCUGGGUAGUAGGUUCAGCUCUCUCUCUCGUUCUUGGUAGUAGUUACAGCUCUCUCUCUCUCUGUUCUGGGUAGUAGUUACAGCUCUCUCUCUGUUCUGGUAGUAGUUACAGCUCUCUCUCUUUCUCUCUGGAGUAGAGUAUACGCUCUCCUCUCUGUUCUGGGUAGUAGUUAAAGCUCUCUCUCUCUGUUUGGGUAGUAGUUACAGCUCUCUCUCUCUCUCUGUUCUGGUGUAGUAGGACAGCUCUCUCUCUCUGUGUUGGGUAGUAGUUACAGCUCUCCUCUCUCUCUCUCUGU
rnacentral:lncRNA from 1 species